ACUGUUGCCAUCCUCGCUGUUCGAGAUAGUAUGGGUAACUAUUGUCACUACUGUUGUUCCGUGGCUGGAUCUGCGCCCUCCGCCGCUUCUGCUUCACAUAGAGUCCCCAGAUCUGGUGGGCGAGAGGAGACAGCGGAGUUUUCAAAGAUGUCCAUCUAAAACUAAUAUCCAUACUUCACACUUCAUGGCGUCUGUCAGCCACUCGUUUGACACCCUAGAAGCUAAAAAGCCAGUGGAAGAUGGAGCUUUGUGUUUGUAUUGUAAUUUUGUAUAAGUAAGUAACGCAAGGGAAAGAAAAACAGGAAUAAAGAACCUGAUUGAUUCCCAUUGCUAAGAAAAAUGUUUGGAAUUGGACUCAAAUCAAUAUCUUAAUAACUGCAUCUAUUUACAUAUUACGGCCAAAUAAAACGUUAUGUAGGCAG